AACGAACGCUGGCGGAAGGAAGAACACAUGCAAGUCGAACGAGACCUUCGGGUCUAGUGGCGCACGGGUGCGUAACGCGUGGGAACCUGCCCUUAGGUUCGGAAUAACUCCCCGAAAGGGGUGCUAAUACCGGAUAAUGUCUUCGGACCAAAGAUUUAUCGCCUUUGGAUGGGCCCGCGUUGGAUUAGCUAGUUGGUAGGGUAAAAGCCUACCAAGGCGACGAUCCAUAGCUGGUCUGAGAGGAUGAUCAGCCACACUGGGACUGAGACACGGCCCAGACUCCUACGGGAGGCAGCAGUGGGGAAUAUUGGACAAUGGGCGAAAGCCUGAUCCAGCAAUGCCGCGUGAGUGAUGAAGGCCUUAGGGUUGUAAAGCUCUUUUACCCGGGAUGAUAAUGACAGUACCGGGAGAAUAAGCGCCGGCUAACUCCGUG
rnacentral:rRNA from 1 species